rnacentral:rRNA from 1 species
UACAGAGGGGGCAAGCGUUGUUCGGAAUUACUGGGCGUAAAGGGCGCGUAGGCGGCCUGUUAAGUCGAACGUGAAAUCCCCGGGCUCAACCCGGGAACUGCGUCCGAUACUGGCAGGCUUGAAUCCGGGAGAGGGAUGUGGAAUUCCAGGUGUAGCGGUGAAAUGCGUAGAUAUCUGGGAGAACACCGGUGGCGAAGGCGACAUCCUGGACCGGUAUUGACGCUGAGGCGCGAAAGCCAGGGGAGCAAACGGG